rnacentral:rRNA from 2 species
GGCCUCUUGUUUUAUUAAGAGGUCUGACCUGCCCAGUGAGUUGUUUUAACGGCCGCGGUAUUUUGACCGUGCAAAGGUAGCAUAAUCAUUAGUCUUUUAAUAGGAGGCUGGAAUGAAAGGUUUGACGAGGUACUUACUGUCUCAUUUUAUUAAAUUAUAAUUUAACUUUUAGGUUAAAAGGCUUAAAUUCUGUUGGAAGACGAGAAGACCCUAUAGAGCUUUAUGAUUAAGGAUUUAAUUGUUUUUAUUUAAUUUUUUGCGUUAUUUUCCUUAAUUUUUCUGUUGGGGUGACAAGAGAUAUAAGAUUAACUUUUAUUAUUUAUAAAACACUUAUUUGUGAUUAUUAGAUCCACUAUUAGUGAUUGCUAGAUCAAGUUACCUUAGGGAUAACAGCGUAAUCUUCCUUCGGAGUUCAAAUUUACAGGAAGGCUUGCGACCUCGAUGUUGGAUUAAGAUAAUUGUUGGGUGUAGUAGCUUGACUUAUAGGUCUGUUCGACCUUUAAAUUCUU